ensembl:lncRNA
CAGGAAUAAAGCUUGCAAAGGCUGAAGAAGGAGCCGGUUUUUCACCUGGUUUGACCUGGACAAUUUUAAAAAGAAAAAGCAAGAAAGCAAAGAAGUCCGAAUCUUGGUCAUUGAGUGGAAUCCAGUCUACACUUCUUAGCAAGCUGCCCUUUCAAGUGGGGGGCUGCAGUUUGACCCUCACAAAAGUGAGACACUUGACAGUGAAAAACCGCCACUGGUGCGAAGACUGGAGCGAAGUAUCCUGAACUGCAACUGGCCA